CGCUGGCGGCAGGCUUAACACAUGCAAGUCGAACGAUAUAGUGGCAGACGGGUGAGUAACGCGUGGAAACGUGCCUUUCACUACGGAAUAGCUUUUGGAAACGAAAGGUAAUACCGUAUACGCCCUCCGGGGGAAAGAUUUAUCGGUGAAAGAUCGGUCCGCGUUAGAUUAGCUAGUUGGUGAGGUAAGAGCUCACCAAGGCGACGAUCUAUAGCUGGUCUGAGAGGAUGAUCAGCCACACCGGGACUGAGACACGGCCCGGACUCCUACGGGAGGCAGCAGUGGGGAAUAUUGCGCAAUGGGCGGAAGCCUGACGCAGCGACGCCGCGUGGGGGAUGACGGCCUUCGGGUUGUAAACCUCUUUCGCCAGGGACGAAGAGCAAUUGACGGUACCUGGAGAAGAAGCACCGGCCAACUACGUGCCAGCAGCCGCGGUAACACGUAGGGUGCGAGCGUUGUCCGGAAUUAUUGGGCGUAAAGAGCUCGUAGGCGGUGUGUCGCGUCGGCCGUGAAAACUUGGGGCUUAACUCUGAGCGUGCGGUCGAUACGGGCAUCACUUGAGUUCGGCAGGGGAGACUGGAAUUCCUGGUGUAGCGGUGAAAUGCGCAGAUAUCAGGAGGAACACCGGUGGCGAAGGCGGGUCUCUGGGCCGAUACUGACGCUGAGGAGCGAAAGCGUGGGGAGCGAACAGGAUUAGAUACCCUGGUAGUCCACACCGUAAACGAUGAGAGCUAGUUGUCUGCAGGCAUGCCUGUAGGUGACGCAGCUAACGCAUUAAGCUCUCCGCCUGGGGAGUACGGCCGCAAGGCUAAAACUCAAAGGAAUUGACGGGGGCCCGCACAAG
rnacentral:rRNA from 1 species